ensembl:processed_transcript predicted gene 14207
CUCGCCACCAGAGGAUAGGAAGGUAGUCCAGUGAUGCGGCGGGAGACUUUAGGUAGCUCCUGCCUCGCUGGCCUCCAGCCUAUGUGUGCCCACCCUUCACGCGUCCCCAGCACCGCAGGGAAGCCAUCCGACGCGUUAACCUUUCCCUAGCUAUUCCAAGCAAGGCAAAGGGCCAAGCGUCUAAGACUCCGGUCUUCUCUGCACCUGUGCCUAUCUCACCUGGGUCCCGCUUGAUCUCCAUAGCCCCAUCCUGGCCCUCCACCCGCGUCCCCUAGCUCCGCUGGAGUAGGGAGGAAACUUUCUUAAUUCCAGAAUUUCCUUGGGCCACUUGAGAGGCAAGGCAGCAUGAAGACCACCAGAGGCCACCUCGGGAGCGGAGCACAAAUGAAAUUCACCGGUAGAGGAAAUGGCAGAGGACACACUCAAAAGGGAAGAGACAAGAGGAGCAGAACGGAGGAGGGGAAAGAGCAGAUCAUGAAAACUCAAGGGUUCAGGGCCUUUUUUGGAAGGAAGCCUGUGAUAAGGUUCUUGACUGAACAACCUGACCUUCUAGAGAAAACCAUCCCACUGAGACAGCUCUCCUGCUGGAAGGUGGUCUUUCAGAGCAGUGGCCUGCAGAAAGGAAGAGGUCUCAUCCUUGAAUGGAUCUAAUCAGUGAGGGUGCUGGCCACCUAGAGAGGGGCGGGGCUCGGUUUUUCCUCAUGUCUCUGAGAGAGCCCACUUCCUGGGUUCACUGUCUACUGUCUGGUUGCUCAUGCCUGAUGACCCAACAUAUGCCACAUAAAGGAUACCCAAGUGGG